CGAGCAGGAAGGCAGAGGUCGAGCAGGGGGUUCCUGGGGCUGGGCGUCGGCUCGGAAUCAGUCCCUGAUCCUCCAGCCAAACCACUGGCUCCAGCCUCCGAAUCAGCGUAUGAUCACACAUCUGGCCAUUUCUCCUUCCAGUUCUGGAGGCUGGAACAUCCAAGACCAAGGUGCCAUCAGGUCUGGUGUCCAGUGAGGGCUUCGUGGUUCACAGAUGGUGUCAUUUUGCUGUGUCCUCACAUGGCAGAAAGGGCAAGUGUAUGGUGGAGUUUCCAGGGGAGAUUGGCUAUUGCAACAGGUGGAAUGCAGAAUCAGAUAUGAGAAUCCAGCUGCUUUCUGUUCAGUCAACAUUAAUGGGAGGCAAACAUGUAAAACAAUGCCUCUCUUUUUAUGGCAUGCUUUUGUUUUGAAUGUGAUUAUUUUUCAUUAAAAAUGUUAUUCGUUAUCAUUAGUAGGUUUAUUGUUGAUUGUAAUUGAAAAGGUAAUAAAUAAGAUGAAUGGAUAAAGAAGAUGUGGCACAUAUAUACAAUGGAAUAUUACUCAGCCAUAAAAAGGAACGAAAUUGGGUUAUUGUAAUGAGGUGGAUGGACCUAGAGUCUGUCAUACAGAGUGAAGUAAGUCAGAAAGAGAAAAACAAAUAUCAUAUGUUAACGCAUACAUACGGAAUCUAAAAAAAACGGUACUGAUGAACCUAGUGGCAGGGCAGGAAUAAAGACACAGACGUAGAGAACGGACUUGAGGACACUGGGAGGAAGGGGAAGCUGGAACGAAGUGAGAGAGUUGCAUGGACAUAUAUACACUACCAAAUGUAAAAUGGAUUGCU